rfam:Triticum aestivum genome assembly, contig: Triticum_aestivum_CS42_TGACv1_scaffold_321781_4BL
GAAUUACUCCCUCCGUCCGGAAAUAGUUGUUGCAGAAAUGCAUAAAAAUGAAUGUAUCUAGAACUAAAAUAUGUCUAGAUACAUCCAUUCGGCCGACAAGUAUUUCCGGACGGAGGGAGUACUUG